UACGUAGGGUCCGAGCGUUGUCCGGAAUUACUGGGCGUAAAAGAGCUCGUUAGGUGGUUGUCGUCGUUGUUACUGAAACUCACAGCUCAGCUGUGGGCGGUGCGGCGGAUACGGACAGACUUGAGUACUGCAGGGGGAGACUGGAAUUCCUGGUGUAGCGGUGGAAUGCGCAGAUAUCAGGAGGAACACCGGUGGCGAAGGCGGGUCUCUGGGCAGUAACUGACGCUGAGGAGCGAAAGCGUGGGGAGCGAACAGG
rnacentral:rRNA from 1 species